rnacentral:misc_RNA from 1 species
UCCGAGUUGACCCCGGCAGUCUCCCACGAGUCCCCGCCAUAACGCGCUGGCAACGUAGGAUAAGGGUUGCGCUCGUUGCGGGACUUAACCCAACAUCUCACGACACGAGCUGACGACAGCCAUGCACCACCUGUACACCAACCACAAGGGAAGCCCCAUCUCUGGGGAUGUCUGGCGCAUGUCAAGCCCAGGUAAGGUGGGGAUGACGUAAUGGAAGCAAGCU